rnacentral:lncRNA from 1 species
GCUCAGGUUGUCAGGGGGCUGAGCUGCAGCCUCCAAUUGGCGAGCGGGGCACCGAGGGGAAGGCGCCCAGGAGGUGGGUUCAUCCGCGUGGGGAAGCGCCCGGGGUGGCCACGCGGGGCCCGGAGGGUGUCGCCCUCGCGGCACCGGAGUCAAGGAGAAGGGAACGAAUCCCCAAGGAAGAAUCCGAAAUGUCCUCAGCCAGGUUUGCGCUGACCGCCCUCGCCCUGGCAGCCACAGCCGCAGCGGGAAGGACCACAGUUGGCAGUCAGAACCCUGGCUCCAACCCGCCAGGGGAGCCUGGACGGCCGCGACGUUCCCGGGUUUCUCCUGCCGGGACCCCGGCCUUCCCUUCAGCACCCAUCAAAGUUAACACAGGCAGGAGGCCCAGAAAGGAAGACAAGACCCCAAAGGCAGAACUAAGAGUAUUCUAAGCCCAGCUGGAGAGGACGCCGCCGCCUCUUCCCCUUCUCACGCGCUUGCCUAGGACCCCCAGCUCCCUUCUCACGCGCUUGCCCAGGCUGGCGGUCCCAACUUUCUUCCCCUGCAAGAGGACGCGGCUACGGCGGGACUCAUGCCCGGGCCAGUUAGCGCCACCUACCGGCCACUCCCUUCCUUUCACCGUUCACAUUGUCCUGCUGGCCCGCGUCUUAAACCCAUUUCACAGUGCCCAGAAGUAGUGGGCAUUCGUACCCAGGAAGCGAUUCUGCCUUCGUUAUGCCCCUGUCCUUUCCAAAUGCCUGGAGGAUCUAGCUGUUAGAUCCUCCCAGCUGCCACUGCCUGUUUUAACCAUAAGCUGCUUCUCUCGAAUAUUCAGAGUGGGACAACUCCAAAGACCAGACCAGGGGUCAAGGGGUUCAGGUCAGUGCCAUAACCAUUUCUUGCUGGAAGUAUGUGAAUAGUGACUGGUACCCACCAGACUGCCAGGAAUAUGUCUCUUUGGCCCCAAGGCUUGAGCCACAAAAUCCAGCUGCAGCGAACUGCCAUCUCUUAAGACAUAAAAACAUACACAACCGCCACUGUUAAAAAUACAUUUAUCAUUAAAAUAUAUUACACAUGGAGACAGGAUGCAUCAUAUACAGUUUGGAAGACUUGCUGGCCCAGAAAAUCCCAC